CACCAUUUGUAUUGUACCACCUCUGCACUGUCACCUUUUCUGUUAAACAUCUCUCUCUCUCUAAAAAGUUUGUAAAACCCAAAAUAUCCCAACUCUAUCCGCAAUGCUUCAAUUAUCUAUAUGCAAAGGCAAGUUAAGACAUUCAUCACGCACAAAACAUCAUCGCUUGCUGAAAUUGUGAAUAUUCCAACCAUAAUUCUGUUGAAACUACAGGGGAAUUUCUUUGAUUAAUUAUCACUGUUUCACUCACUGGCAGGGUGAGGGCGUGGAUUAAGAUGGGCAAAACAAAGCCAGUGAAACAACACAAAUGCAGCGAGGUUGCUCAAGUCCUCAAACAUGUGCGACUAGACGAGUGUCAAUCCAAGUCCUCGGGCUGAAAACACCGCGUUUGUUAGCCUAGCAAGCGAGGCAUAUGGCGUGAAAGUCAUAGGGUACCCAUUGGAUGUUGGAGAGAUAAGAGGCGACAGUGGCGCACUCAAGGUGUUUGGUGAUCUUGUUUGGAGGACUUCUAAGAGGAGCUCCGUCUGCUAUGUCACGAGCUCGCCCUGUGCUUCCAGGAAGAGUGUCCAAGAAGCGAUGCUCCCGGCUGCAGAGAAGCCCUUUGUGAAGUUGCACAAGAAUUCGGAGAAAGCAUCCAACAAAAGUUGUGUUCCAGUGGAGCUUAUUUUCAGUAAGAUACUAGCAGCAGUUGAUUAGGGAUAAAGUUAUGUAACUGUGGGCGGACGGCGUCCGUCUAGUUAUGUAAAUUUCAAAUCUUCUAUUGCCAAGA